UAGGGAAUCUUGCGCAAUGGGCGAAAGCCUGACGCAGCAACGCCGCGUGCGGGAUGAAGGCCCUCGGGUUGUAAACCGCUUUCAGCAGGGACGAAGAUGACGGUACCUGCAGAAGAAGCCCCGGCCAACUACGUGCCAGCAGCCGCGGUAACACGUAGGGGGCAAGCGUUGUCCGGAUUUAUUGGGCGUAAAGAGCUCGUAGGCGGUUUCGUAAGUCGGGUGUGAAAACUCUAGGCUCAACCUGGAGACGCCACCCCGAUACUGCGAUGACUAGAGUCCGGUAGGGGAGUGUGGAAUUCCUGGUGUAGCGGUGAAAUGCGCAGAUAUCAGGAGGAACACCAACGGCGAAGGCAGCACUCUGGGCCGGAACUGACGCUGAGGAGCGAAAGCGUGGGUAGCGAA
rnacentral:rRNA from 1 species